rnacentral:lncRNA from 1 species
UUUUAUAAUUUUUUGGAUUUUGCCCCCCUAAAAUUCUGCUUUCGAGUCACAACUUUAAAGUUUCGCACACAACUCAAUUUUGAUCAAUAAUUCACCAAAAGGAUACCGAAAUGACCGUAAUCGAGUUAUCUUUUCACAUAAUCAAACCCCACUGAAUUUGGAGUUACAAAGAGAGAUUAAUUACCGUUUUAGUGAAGGUAUGUCCCCCAAAAUUCUGCAAAA